rnacentral:tRNA from 1 species
GCGUUGGUGGUUCAAAGGUAGAACGCUAGCCAUACACUCACAUGGUCCGGGGUUUGAUCCCCAGCCGAUGCG